UUUCUUAAGGUUUACUGUGAACUUAGGGAUUUUGAUUUUGAUUUUUCUAGGGUUGAAGUUGGGGAUUUUGUGUUCUCUGGAAAAUUUGAAGGAACCUGAUGAAGGAACCCAUAUCUCUUCAUCUUUUUUCUGGAUUUUUUUAUAUAAAAAUAUAUUUUAAAAAAAAGUUUCUGAUGUGUCAAGCCAUGUCAGUAUUUUU
rnacentral:lncRNA from 1 species